UGUGACGGAGAAGACAAGUCAACACGUGCAACCAGAAGAGAGCACCGGCGCCUGCGUGCGAAACUCACAUAUGACUCAAGAGGACACUGUGGACACAAAGGGCUAGUGCCAUCAUUUGUCGGUCCAAAGGGCUAGUGCAAUCCACAUAUACUGUAACAGCUGCAUCAUCUGUCGGUCCAAGUUCUGCUGAAAGGAAUCAUGAUCCUGCUCCCCUGGGGGCGGCGGCUGCGGUAGUAGCAAGGGCACUACCCCAUGGUCUCUGCUAUUCGAUCCCCUGAUUUUGGGUUUCACUCUGAGAUGGGAUAAGUUUUUAAAGCUCCAUCGAUCCAAGUCUGACAACUAGUCGAACGGCUCUGACAACAUGGACCCAGUGUCAGACUGUCUGCAGUGUGUGAACAUGGGACCUGACUGCAUCAGAUUGCUAAACUAAUUUGUAAUGUUAUUUUGAAUCAAAUAUGCCAUGUCUCGAUUUUUCUGUGUUUUGGUUGAACCAAAAGUUGAAAUUUUGUACUGAUUCCAUCGAUCAGGGUGUCAUGUAACUGAGAAUAAGGUGCUCCCAUGCACGAUUAGCGAUGUGUUGCACUAUUUUAACAGAGAAAACAAAAAGAACUCCUCUUUGAGGCCAGUCUGUCUACUCUACAUGGACAUCUAUGGCUGCUCACUUCGUUGUCUUCUCCGUAAGAUCAACGGCUAGAUGGAUUGUAGGUGUUCCUAGUGAAGCUUAAAAUUCUGAAAUUUGUACUGAAUUAGGGUAUUAUGUAACUGGUUCAUGAAGUGCUUCUUUGCUAUACCUAUGACCGUGAGAACCAUUCCAUGUUCCUGUCGAGAUGCUUUUUCAAGUUAUCAUAAAAAUAUUUGAGUGAACUAUCCUCUGUCAGGAUGUUACGUAACUGAAUCAGGUGCUCCCAUGGUCUUCCUGCUUAUGAAAUUUGAGUGAACUAUCCUCUGGGGAAGGUCAAGGAUGAGCUACUCGUUGAUGGAAAGGACUCUAAUUAACCAGAAAUGCCAUGUGAAGAGCAAGGACAUCAAGAUGUAUCUAUGUUAGCGAAAAGGGCUCUAUCAAAGAAGAGUGGCGAGCUGCAUUUUCCUCUGUACCUGGUAGAAGAACAUUUAUUAGGAGUCAUAAUCAACAUUAUCUGCUGAUACUACUCACUCAAGAUCUCAGAUUGGUAGGGUCGGUCUCAAGUCUGAAUCUAAUUUUGCCAAUCUGUUAGGGUACACAACAAGAAGAAAUUACGAUCCAAGUGAUAUAAAUUCAAGUAUUCCGAGAAAAA